UACAGAGGUCUCAAGCGUUGUUCGGAUUCAUUGGGCGUAAAGGGUGCGUAGGCGGCGCGGUAAGUCGGGUGUGAAAUCUCGGAGCUUAACUCCGAAACUGCAUUCGAUACUGCCGUGCUUGGGGACUGGAGAGGAGACUGGAAUUUACGGUGUAGCGGUGAAAUGCGUAGAUAUCGUAAGGAAGACCAGUGGCGAAGGCGGGUCUCUGGGCCGAUACUGACGCUGAGGAGACGAAAGCGUGGGGAGCGAACAGG
rnacentral:rRNA from 1 species